AGAGUUGAUCAUGGCUCAGGAUGAACGCUAGCUACAGGCUUAACACAUGCAAGUCGAGGGGCAGCAUUGGAGUAGCAAUACUCAGAUGGCGACCGGCGCACGGGUGAGUAACACGUAUCCAACCUGCCGCUUACUCGGGGAUAGCCUUUCGAAAGAAAGAUUAAUACCCGAUGGUAUAAAGAGUUCGCAUGUUCUCUUUAUUAAAGAAUUUCGGUAAGCGAUGGGGAUGCGUUCCAUUAGAUAGUUGGCGGGGUAACGGCCCACCAAGUCUACGAUGGAUAGGGGUUCUGAGAGGAAGGUCCCCCCACAUUGGAACUGAGACACGGUCCAAACUCCUACGGGAGGCAGCAGUGAGGAAUAUUGGUCAAUGGACGAGAGUCUGAACCAGCCAAGUAGCGUGAAGGAUGACUGCCCUAUGGGUUGUAAACUUCUUUUAUAAGGGAAUAAAGUGAGGGACGUGUCCCUUUUUGUAUGUACCUUAUGAAUAAGGAUCGGCUAACUCCGUGCCAGCAGCAGC
rnacentral:rRNA from 1 species